AAUAUCCAAAUAUAAUACUUGGACUAAGGGUCAAAUUGGUUAUUUUUCUUACAUCUACACCCCCCGGAGCCCACGUAUCAUAUAUACCUCGAAAAUAAAGAGCAA
rfam:Glycine max cultivar Williams 82 chromosome 18, whole genome shotgun sequence.